rnacentral:tRNA from 1 species
UCCCUGGUGGCUCAGAGGGUAAAAAGCAUCUGCCUCCAAUGCGGAACACCCAGGUUUGAUCCCUGGGUUGGGAA